GCCUUAUACCUACAUCCCCAUCUUCGGACGGAAGAGGUCAAGCGCCCCACCCCAGAUUUGGCGGGGGAGUUUCCUCGCUCCCCCUCUCUCUACUCGUCUCACAGCUGCUGCUCCUUUGGAGUCACCCCUGACUUUGUAAUCUUAGCCCGAGACAGAAGGGACCCGUUUUCCUGCUCGAAUUUCAGGUGUCGCUGCCUGCCUCCGUGGCUUGGGAGAGGACUGGAUGGGUCUUUAAUUGUUGCAGAGGGUCGUUGGCCCGCAGGUGACUGGCUCUGCCUUUUGCUCCGCCACUGCCAGAUGCCUCCCCUGGAGUGGGUGCGCGGGCGCCACCCGGACCCCGUGCCCUGUGGCCCGGAGGUGCAGCCGAGGCUUUGGCGCGCUCAGCUCCGCAUCCCACGGGCCGGGGCUGGCGCUUCACGCGGUGGCCGCAGCCUUCCCGCCCGCCAGGCGCAUGGACAGCAGCUCGGCUCCAGUCGGCGCCCCGAAGCCUCCGCCGAACGCAGCACCGACGGACAGAUGGAUGGGCGGACGGACCGACCAGAAAUCCUAAAUAAAAUUAUGAAGAGCUAAACAAGCAGAACCAAGAGGACAUUUUAUAUACAGCAACAGAAAUAUUGUUUGAAGAAUAACUUAUGUAUGCCCACUUCCAUAAGAAGAACUG
rnacentral:lncRNA from 1 species